CCUACGGGAGGCAGCAGCUAAGAAUCUUCCGCAAUGGCGAAAGCCUGACGGACGACGCCGCGUGAACGAAGAAGGCCGUGAGGUGUAAAGUUCUUUUCGGGAGGGGGAACAACCGUGGCAGGGAAUGGCCGCGGGGUGACGUGAAUCCCGGAAUAAGCCCCGGCUAACUACGUGCCAGCAGCCGCGGUAAU
rnacentral:rRNA from 1 species